GUACACUCCUGCGGGAGGCAGCAGUGGGGAAUAUUGCACAAUGGGCGCAAGCCUGAUGCAGCCAUGCCGCGUGUAUGAAGAAGGCCUUCGGGUUGUAAAGUACUUUCAGCGGGGAGGAAGGCGAUAAGGUUAAUAACCUUGUCGAUUGACGUUACCCGCAGAAGAAGCACCGGCUAACUCCGUGCCAGCAGCCGCGGUAAUACGGAGGGUGCAAGCGUUAAUCGGAAUUACUGGGCGUAAAGCGCACGCAGGCGGUCUGUCAAGUCGGAUGUGAAAUCCCCGGGCUCAACCUGGGAACUGCAUUCGAAACUGGCAGGCUAGAGUCUUGUAGAGGGGGGUAGAAUUCCAGGUGUAGCGGUGAAAUGCGUAGAGAUCUGGAGGAAUACCGGUGGCGAAGGCGGCCCCCUGGACAAAGACUGACGCUCAGGUGCGAAAGCGUGGGGAGCAAACAGGAUUAGAAACCCUAGUAGUCCCA
rnacentral:rRNA from 1 species